CUAUCCAACCAAGGGUUUUACUUAUUCCCUGGAUUUCUCUAUACUUUUAAAUUGUCAAAGCCAAAGAAAAGAAUAAUUAAAAUAUUCAAAGCUGAAAAUAAGCAAGAUUUCAGUUUAUUUUCAAAUAUAAGCUUACCACUUCCCUGCAUUUAACUGUGAUACUAGUGUUCUGGCAAUAUUACAUAUGAUUGAGAAUUCUGUUUACCUAAACCACUUUUUUAUUGUUGUUUUUAGCUUUCUUAAGUGCCAUCAGGUCUUGUCUUCUUUCAUUUCUUUCUAGCUGUCCCCAACAAAUACUGCCCAAGUCUGAUUGUAAUGCAGCCUUUCUUUCAUAGUGAAUAUUUAUUAAAGCACUUAAUACCUGAAUUAUGAAAUGUAGACAAGUGCACAUUAACCUGGCUGAGUUAUUUCCUUUCUUGUUCUUUUUAAACACAUAUUCUAGCCCAGUCUAUCAAUGCCAGAUGGCAACUACAUUUUGAUACACUGAAUAUUUACCAAGUCAUGUGGUAUGCUUUUGAAGUAUUUUUUAAACCCUUUCCAUCAAACGAGCUGACUCAUCUCUCAUUCAUUUAUUCCUGCUUUUAACAAGUUGUAUUUUUAGAAACUUGACCUCAGUUUUAUCAAAAUGAUAAAUGAUAUUGUAAAAUGAUGCAUCCGAAGUUCUACAGGCCUGACUACACUUUACAUCCUACAGCUAUCACGUUUAUUUUUCAGUGUUUAAAAUGUUAUAAUGUACCAAUUUUCUUAUUUUCAUGAAACUUGACUCCAACUAGAUUAUUGUGUUAGCACAGAGGAAUAUAAUGGGAGAAUAUUUAUACUUAGACAGCUUUAAGAUAUUCAGGAAAUUAAAAGCAUUUAUGGUUGAAAUAAUUUUAAAUGACCAUGAAAAUAGCAACUUAACAACUGAUAUUUAUGUCCAAGACCUUUAAAAAGCCUACUGGUAAUAGGCAGUAGGUCUAAUAAUAAUAGUAGGAAGAAGAUGAAGAAGACUAAAAGGCUGUCAGAAUACUGACUCCCUGCUAUGUUUUUUGUUUUCUUGAUCUUCAUGGGAAUAUGCUUUUGUGGGGGAAACUGUUAGAAUAUUUUUUUGUAAAUAGAUGUUAAUAUUUCUUAAUCUAGGGAUAUUAAAAAUAACAGGAGAAAGUAUUGACAGACAAAAGUGCAUGGCAUUGAAAAUGGAUUUGUAGAUCUGCAACAUUGUUAGUGGUUUCUUUAGAAAAGAAUCCCAUGGAACUCUACAUUCUUUUAUUAAAUGAGCCCAGAAGAUUUUCUACUUACCCUUUCACUUUUAAUAGCCCUUUUGUGUGUAAACAGCUUCUCAAGAACUGGAAUUUUUAGAGUAUAUCUUCUUUAUUUUAUGAGUUUCACUUGAAUGUUUCUAACUUCAUGGAGACUCAUCUGAUUGAAUGGUAACAUUUUGUAUUCAGGCAGCAAGGGAUUUUGUAGUGAAAACAUUGUGGUGGACACCCAAAAAAUAAGAUUUCUAAUAUAGUUUAUAGUGUAUUUUUCUCCUUAAAGUUAACAAUGAAGGAAUAGUGUAUCUUUUUGGCUCCUCUGUCAAAUUAAACUGUGGGGUAAUUAAAUCAUUGUAUUAUUUGGGAAGAAAGAAAAUGGGUGGACAUAGAUUAAAUUUUUAAAUGUUCUGAUCUUUAGUUAUUUUCCAAUGACAGAAGUUGGAGAUUAAUCAUUUUUCUUCUACUCCUAAUGUUUUCUCAAUUGGAAGAUUAAAGAGAUGUCAACGAAGUAUCACCUGAUUAUUUAUCAAGUGAUUGUUACAGAGACUGAGUGCCCUCAGGAUUACAUAUCUUUUUUUUUCUCUCCCACAAUUGUCAUGAUUACUAGCCAAAUCCAAUUAGAGAGAUACUAGAGAAGUACUGAGUAUUUACUGAGUACUUACACAUUGUAUAUGUAAUACAGGUUUCAUAGAUAAUCACCUCUUUAGAAAUGACUGGACUAUAAAGAGUGAUUAACUAGCAACUCUAGCCCUGAAUUCUGAAUCUUUUAUUUUUCCUUCAAAAGGGCUUCUACUUUUCUUCAUCUCUACAUAAAAGUUUUUCAAACUUCUUCCAUCCACCAGUCCUACUGAGUGAGGGCAUCAAGGACAGGGUUUGCAAUGCAACAUAAUUUGUUUGGCAAAAAACUAAGAAUGAAAUAUCUCCUGCUUUAUAGAUAGUUUUUAUACAACAUUCUUUGUAAUUGUGUAAAGUCUGAGAAUUGUGUCUAAUGAAAUAUCUGGUAAAGGCAAAUGGUAAAUAAAUUCUCAUUUAAUUGAUAAAAUUAAUUUGGUUUCUCCAUAAUAAAAGUAUACUUGUAUUAGAAGUCUACUUAGUUUAAGGAGUCACAUUACAUCUCCAUGACUCAACAUUCCCCUUUGAGGCACUGGGGGAAAAAUCCAAUAGUAAUACCAAAAUAAAAUAACUUUGACCCUCAACAAUGCUAUGCAUUGUAAACUGAUGCCACCCAGAAAGAUGUAAGGAAACAGCUGGCUGAAACUACAGUUGAAGCAUCUCUGGAAUUAACAAAUAAAGCCAAUUUCUGGAUAACAAGACAAAUUGAUAUAGUCAGUCUUCGAGUGAUUGGGAAGAAGGCUUUAUCCUUCCUAAAUAUCCUUGGAAUUGUUAUUCAUUUUGUUACUAUCAUGGCUUUUUUCCCAAAGGAAAUCAAUCAAACAUGCAGGAAAACAUGUCUAGUACUUUCUGAGUAACCAAAGAUUAGCCACACAAACAAUCCUUUUCCCACUAUUGCUUCACUCUUUGCCAAAAUGCAUUCAGCCCUGAGAUAUUAAGGAUGUUGGGAAUCCUUUCCCCUCUUUAGUCUCUUGUCAGCCACUCCUCUUUUUACCCUACCACCUUUGCAAGUAGAGUAUAUUUAAAAUAAAGGAUCAUCAGUGAGACAAAGAAUUAGUUGAUAGAACCUUGUGCAUACCUGAAAAUCUUGAGGCCUCAAACUAGUUUUUGGAUAGCUUGGUAGUUGGGAGCUUCCAUGCAAAUUUAGACUAUUCACAGCCCAAACUGUUGGACCAAAAGACAUGAUCUAUGCAAUAUCCCCCAGUAAACCUGAGUCAACCUUCAUAGAGGUCUAAGUGAUAAGUAUUAAACCAACAUUUGAAAUGUCAAAUGGGAAAACCCAUUUGGCAGUUAAAUUAUUUUUAUAACUGACCAAAAUAAUGUUGUAAAAUGAAAGCCUCAAGUUAGUAAUUGAUAAAAAAAAAUUAAACUACUAAAAAAUAGAUUUUUGUAUAUCAAAGCUAAAUUUGACAGUAUUAGGACUGUAAUUAAUCUUAGAAUAUCUUUAUAAUGGGCAAAAAAAUAAAUAUUCUUUUGAAAACAGAUAAUAUUUAUGAGAACCUAUUGCUAUGUGCCAUCCAUGUGUCUUGCUAUCUUCCAAUUCUGCCUAUGAAAUGCUCCAUUGAAAGCAUUUUCCCAGUUAUUAUAAAGUUCAAAUUAAUUUGAUUUGUUCCUAAAAAAAUGUCAGUUUGCUUACAAUUUAAACUUUUAUUUAAGGAAGUCCAGAAGUUGAGAGUUCUCUGUGAUCUCCAGGAAAGCUUUGGAAAAAUAAAAAGUAGUGUAUUGGAGAUCUCUACUUCAUAAUAAUAGUUUACAAUUAUUCAGUUUUUGUUCUACUCCAGUCAAGAGGAUUCCAAUCAAAAGGAUCCUAAUCAAGGGGAUUAUUAUAUCAUUUUAAUGAAUUAAUCACUUUCUUGUUAUAUAAUGACCUUCUCUCUGUCUCUUGUGACAAUUUUUGGCUGAAAGUCUAUUUUGUAUGAUAUAAGAAUAGCCACUCUUACUAGCUUUUGGUUAUCGUUUGCUUGGAAUAUAUUUUUCCCACCUUUUACUUUGAGUCUAUGUUUGUCCCUAAAGCUAAAGUGUGUUGUUGUUGUUUUUUGUUGUUGUUGUUGUUGCUGUUUUAACAGCAUAUGGAUAGUCUUCCUCUUAAUCUCUUCAGCCAGUUUGUAUCUUUUGAUUGGGGAAGCUAAUCCAUUUACACUUAAUUAUUAAUAGAAUUCCCUAAUGUGUUUAUUGAUUCACUUGUUUGAGUCCCAUAAGUCACUUAGGCUUUCCUCACUUUUCAUCCUUGUUUUUUCUUUGUGCUCCUGACUACAUAAUUUCAAAUGAUCUGUCUUUAUGUUCACUGUUUCUUUCUUCUGCUUGAUUAGGUCUGCUUUUGAACUCCUCUAGUGAAUCUUUCAGUUCAAUUUUUGUAUUCUCCAGCUUCAGUAAUUCUAUUGGGUUCUUUUUAAUAGUCUCUAUCUCUUUAUUUAACUUCUCAUUUUGUUCUUGUAUCUUUUUCCUAAUUUUAUUUAGCUAUCUCUCAGUGUUCUCUUGUAACUCACUGGGCUUCUUUAAGACAUUUAUUUUGCAUUCUUUGUCAGUUAAUUCAGGGAUCUCUGUUUCUUUCAGGAUGGUUAUUGGAGAUGACUCUUUGUGUUCCUUGUAGAUUUUCUUUGUGAUCUGUAUAUUUGAAGUAGCAGCUACCUUUCCCAGUCUCUACAGAUGAGUUUUGAUGAGUAGAGACCUUUACCAGUUCAUGGUGCUUAAUAUGAGACAAGAUAGAGACAUACACCUUGGGGAGCACAAUCUAAGACUGGGGGCAAGGCCCUUUACACUUCUUUCCUUGCCUUCUCAAGGAAAAGGCUCGGUUCUAUGUUUUUUUCUUAUUAUACAGAGCAGUGCCAGCUGCAAAGGGAUGCCUGCUCCUUUUAGUUUUUGCUAACUAUCCCUCAGAACCAAGUUCUAAUGGUCGCACAAGGCUCAGUACAAGGUGAAAUGGAAACUGGCUUCACAGAGGGAACUCUGAAAUGCUGAGAAUAAGGCCCCCUUCAUUCCCUUUCCUCCCUCAUCUAAGAAUAACCUCAGUUCUGCCCCAUUCCUAAUCUUGCAAGGCAGCUCUAACUGUAAGGAGUUGCCCUCCUCAUUUCUUUGCUCCUACGCAUCCCUGGGAACGAAGUUCUACAGGUGCGCACUGCACUGGUCUGGCUGAAGAAAGGUAGUCUCCUCCACUUGGAAACCCUGACAUUAAGAGAAUGAUUCUUGUGCCAGCUUUCAGGAAAGCUUGUGAAGGAAAAGUUCAGGUGAUUCUUAAGUCUUAUUACCUGAUUAUCAGCCCAUGUGCCUCCCUUCCAUUCUGUAUUCUCAUGAAGAAAUUGAUUUAAUAGAUUGAAGAUAUUAUUAAAUACAUUCUGCAUUAAUAUUAUAUGUCCUCUUUGAAUCCAAGUGGCAAUACAAUAGAAUUUCAUUUUAUAAAUAACACCUUUCAAGCGAACACCACAGGGCACAGUACAAAAGAAUCAAAAUAGAACACAAAUGCUGUAAUCAAAUGCAGACCCCAGGAAGGCUGAUUAAAAAGGCAUGUUGCUACUAAGAACAGCCGACAGGUUAAGUAUAGUGGGUCAUAGCAGAAAAGCCAGCAGAACAGAAGGGCAAACUAAAAUAAAAUGGACUUGCCUGCCUGAAUCACACGGACUUAUGACAUUCCUUUGUCUUCAUCUCUUUUUGAACUCAGGAAUUGCAGGGGAGAGGGGGGUGUGCAUGUGUGUUGGAGGAGAGAACUAAACAUAGGGUCAUUAAAUUUAUCCUCAGUACUCACGCAUAGCACAAACAAAAGGAAAUCAUAAGGAUAACCACCUGCAGCUGGCAGAGAUGCCUACAGUGUGAUUGUGAGACAACCCAACAUGGCUUGCUUUGCUGGAUACCACUGGCUUUAAGAAAACACAACUGUGAGUUCUCCUUGCCUGCUCUGCAAAAAUGUAUCUGGAUUCUUUAAAUAUUUUUUCUUUGCUAGCUGGUUUGAGGGUGCUUUGUCAGUAGAGAAGGGUUUAUAUUUAUAUGUACAGGUUUUAUUUGCUUGUAAAGUAUGCUCCAGGGGAAUCUUCUUCAUGGGAUACUCCUAACUGAGGGUCAGAAGUAGGCUUAAGAUGUAAGAAUUAUCGUCUAUUAACCCUUGUAUUCUGAUAAUCUCAUGGAAAACUUGGGCCAUAUGUGGGACUUUUAAUCAGGCUAAUGAAUUAGGGCUCUACCAGUGCCCUCUUUUUCUGACUGUGGUACUCUGUUUUGUCCUUGCUAUGUUUG
rnacentral:lncRNA from 1 species